CGCGGUGUGCCCGAGUGGUGAGGGAGCGGCCUGCAAAGCCGUCUACGCCGGUUCGAUUCCGGUCACCGCGUCCA
rnacentral:tRNA from 1 species